CAGAGCGUGAGACUCGGCCCGGGCGUGUCCCGCGUGUCGAGUCGACCCUCCACCCGUGUUGACUUUAUCUGUUGCUUUGGCGGGCCAGGCGCCUGGCGCCGACCGGCUUCGUGCUGGCUCGUGUCCGCCAAAGACCCAACCUAACUCGUGUUGUCGUGUUGUCUGAGGAAGAAAUAUUGAAUUGUUAA
rnacentral:misc_RNA from 1 species